AUUGGAUGAACCAUAUGAUUGUUUCUCUCCUGACAUGAAUAUAUAUAUUCAGAUAUUAAUGCUUGUUUUCCUCUCUUCAUGGAGUUUCAAGUUUGGCUAUUCUGUUACAUUA
rfam:Brassica napus, WGS project CCCW01000000 data, contig: 9228